rnacentral:misc_RNA from 1 species
AAGUCGUAACAAGGUUUCCGUAGGUGAACCUGCGGAAGGAUCAUUAACACGUAUCCAAACGUUAAAACCCCCCCCGUGAACCUUCAUCCUGCUCGAGUGUAGACCGUACACUCGGGCAGGAGCUUUGCCAAAGGGUCCCCAUGCCCCCUAAUAACCCCACAGUUUAAUGUGAAGCUCAAUGUAAUACAUUGGGUAAAAAAACCGAACAACUGUUAACAAUGGAUAUCUUGGUUCUC